AAAUAACAGUAAAAUUGUCGGUUCACUGAAAUUUAACAUUCAAAAUAGUAUAUUAAUUGUCGUGUAUAAAUUGAUAAUAUCGCUCCCGAGUUUUUGCACCCCAAAUUAUUUCCACGAAGACAGUUUUGGAGUUUGCUGUAUAAAACACACCAUUGCUGAAAACGCGUAAAUCAAACUACGCUACUUUUGCUGAAGCAGUGAGACAGCAAAUUUAUUAAAAGUUAAGCUCUGUGAUAUUCCGCUGUUAUUGAUUCACGGAACAACGAAUUAUGAACUUCGUGGUGCUAUCUGUUUUCAUCGUGGUAAAAGUGGUUUAAGGACUUCAAUUGGGCACUAUACAGUAUAUGUAAAAAGAAGCAGUGAUCGUCAAUAGGAACUUUUCGAUGAUAUGAAAAAAAACCUGUUCCAGUUAAGGACACAACAACCAUAAUGUGUGAAUUUUUAGUUUAUACAGUUUGACAAUUUGUUGUACCUUUUAUUAUAUUUAUUAUUUUAACUUUUAUAAUUAUUAUUUUAAAUAUUUAACAAUAAAUAAGAAUAAGAUUAAUAUUUUAAAAAUGUAA